rnacentral:rRNA from 1 species
GACGAACGCUGGCGGCGUGCCUAAUACAUGCAAGUCGAACGAGUGGCGGACGGGUGAGUAAUGUCUGGGAAACUGCCUGAUGGAGGGGGAUAACUACUGGAAACGGUAGCUAAUACCGCAUACCAUCGGAUGUGCCCAGAUGGGAUUAGCUAGUAGGUGGGGUAAAGGCUCAACUAGGCGACGAUCCCUAGCUGGUCUGAGAGGAUGACAGGCCACACUGGAACGGAGACAGGGUCCAGACGACUACGGGAGGCAGCAGUGGUGAAUAGUGCACAAUGGGCGCAAGCCUGAUGCAGCCAUGCCGCGUGUAUGAAGAAGGCCUUCGGGUUGUAAAGUACUUUCAGCGGGGAGGCGUUACCCGCAGAAGAAGCACCGGCUAACUCCGUGCCAGCCGCCGCGGUAAUAC